CACGUAGGGCGCAAGCGUUGUCCGGAAUUAUUGGGCGUAAAGAGCUCGUAGGCGGUCUGUUACGUCUGCUGUGAAAACCCGGGGCUUAACCCUGGGCUUGCAGUGGAUACGGGCAGACUAGAGGCAGGUAGGGGAGAAUGGAAUUCCCGGUGUAGCGGUGAAAUGCGCAGAUAUCGGGAGGAACACCGGUGGCGAAGGCGGUUCUCUGGGCCUGACCUGACGCUGAGGAGCGAAAGCGUGGGGAGCGAACAGGG
rnacentral:rRNA from 1 species